GGGAGUAGCUCAGUUGGCUAGAGCAUCAGCCUUCCAAGCUGAGGGUCGCGGGUUCGAGUCCCGUCUCCC
rnacentral:tRNA from 2 species